GUUUAUAAAUUACCUAUCAAAUCGUACACAAUUUGUAAUGGUGGAUGGUUGUAAAUCUGAGUCCAUAGAGGUGUGCUCAGGUGUUCCGCAAGGUUCUAUUUUGGGCCCACUGUUGUUCAUUUUGUAUAUCAACAACAUUGGGGAUCUUAUUGAAACAGCGGAUGUUCAUUUUUAUGCAGAUGAUACUGUUCUUUAUUCA